rnacentral:rRNA from 1 species
GUAGAUAGCUCGCUACACUUUGUGGGUAGGCCACCAGGCAUACAGUACGGCUUUAAAAGAAGGGCCCGGAGAGGGGACUGAGACACGGACCCAGGCCCUAUGGGCGCAGCAGGCGAGAAACCUUUGCAAUGUGCGAAAGCACGACAAGGUUAAUCCGAGUGUCUCCUGCUAAAGGAGUCUUUUGUCAGUUGUAGAAUCACUGGUGAAUAAGGGGUGGGCAAGUUCUGGUGUCAGCCGCCGCGGUAAAACCAGCACCUCGAGUGGUCAGGAGGUUUAUUGGGCCUAAAGCAUCCGUAGCCGGUUGCAUAAGUUUUCGGUUAAAUCUAUGCGCUUAACGUAUAGGCCGCCGAAAAUACUGUGCAGCUAGGGAGUGGGAGAGGUACACGGUACUCGAUAGGAAGGGGUAAAAUCCUUUGAUCUAUUGAAGACCACCUGUGGCGAAGGCGGUGUACCAGAACACGUUCGACGGUGAGGGAUGAAAGCUGGGGGAGCAAACCGGAUUAGAUACCCGGGUAGUCCCAGCUGUAAACGAUGCAGACUCGGUGAUGCAUUGGCUUGUGGCCAAUGCAGUGCCGCAGGGAAGCCGUUAAGUCUGCCGCCUGGGAAGUACGUACGCAAGUAUGAAACUUAAAGGAAUUGGCGGGGGAGCACCACAAGGGGUGAAGCUGCGGUUCAAUUGGAGUCACGCC